CGGGGAGGUAGUGACGAAAAAUAACGAUACGGGACUCAUCCGAGGCCCCGUAAUCGGAAUGAGUACACUUUAAAUCCUUUAACAAGGACCAAUUGGAGGGCAAGUCUGGUGCCAGCAGCCGCGGUAAUUCCAGCUCCAAUAGCGUAUAUUAAAGUUGUUGCGGUUAAAAAGCUCGUAGUUGAAUCUGUGUGUCACAGUGUCGGUUCACCGCUCGCGGUGUCUAACUGGCAUUAUGUGGUACGUCCUACCGGUGGGCUUAGCUCCUUGCGGGCGGUCCAACUAAUCUCCCAUCGCGGUGCUCUUCACUGAGUGUCGAGGUGGGCCGGUACGUUUACUUUGAACAAAUUAGAGUGCUCAAAGCAGGCUACCUUCGCCUGAAUACUGCGUGCAUGGAAUAAUGGAAUAGGACCUCGGUUCUAUUUUGUUGGUUUUCGGAACCCCCGAGGUAAUGAUUAAUAGGGACAGAUGGGGGCAUUCGUAUUGCGACGUUAGAGGUGAAAUUCUUGGAUCGUCGCAAGACGGACUAAAGCGAAAGCAUUUGCCAAAAAUGUUUUCAUUAAUCAAGAACGAAAGUUAGAGGUUCGAAGGCGAUCAGAUACCGCCCUAGUUCUAACCAUAAACGAUGCCAGCUAGCGAUCCGCCGAAGUUCCUCCGAUGACUCGGCGGGCAGCUUCCGGGAAACCAAAGCUUUUGGGUUCCGGGGGAAGUAUGGUUGCAAAGCUGAAACUUAAAGGAAUUGACGGAAGGGCACCACCAGGAGUGGAGCCUGCGGCUUAAUUUGACUC
rnacentral:rRNA from 1 species